rnacentral:rRNA from 1 species
GAUGAACGCUGGCGGCGUGCCUAAUACAUGCAAGUCGAGCGAACAGACGAGGAGCUUGCUCCUCUGACGUUAGCGGCGGACGGGUGAGUAACACGUGGAUAACCUACCUAUAAGACUGGGAUAACUUCGGGAAACCGGAGCUAAUACCGGAUAAUAUAUUGAACCGCAUGGUUCAAUAGUGAAAGACGGUUUUGCUGUCACUUAUAGAUGGAUCCGCGCCGCAUUAGCUAGUUGGUAAGGUAACGGCUUACCAAGGCAACGAUGCGUAGCCGACCUGAGAGGGUGAUCGGCCACACUGGAACUGAGACACGGUCCAGACUCUUACGGGAGGCAGCAGUAGGGAAUCUUCCGCAAUGGGCGAAAGCUCGACGGAGCAACGCCGCGUGAGUGAUGAAGGUCUUCGGAUCGUAAAACUCUGUUAUUAGGGAAGAACAAAUGUGUAAGUAACUAUGCACGUCUUGACGGUACCUAAUCAGAAAGCCACGGCUAACUACGUG